GUUCCGAAUGGCACGCUUGGGUGUAUGAUGUUUAUGAUACUCCGGUGGGACAAGUUAGCUUUUGACAGGUGCCAGAGAGUGUAUUCUUAGCAUAUUUUGUAACAUGUUGUCGGUGUGCACCGCCUAGCACGGUGAAUAGUCGUCCACUUGGUACUUCUUUGCGAAGAACGGUGCUGGAGGACGGUGUAUUUGUGGUCUGUGAUCCCUGACAUGGUACAUUCUACUAGAGGAAACUUUCUUUCGUUUGUCUUGCCAUACCUGUUCGAUGUUCAGGAUCUAUUGCUCCCAUCCGCAACACCGGCAAAAAAAUUAGCAGGAAGCGCUACUGCAGGCAAGGGGUGGAUCACCAGUUUCCUUUCCGUUCAUUUCCAACUUCUUCUACUCGGCUGUUACUCUUGUUUUUUUUUUUUUUGCAAAAUAUACUGCAAAAUGGGUCGCUGAAGAAAAACACUACCUUUUUCGGCCGGGUCAAGACACUUUUACUAUCAAUGCACCGGCUAUGUCCUGCGCUCGUUGGCGCUCGCAGUUAAUCUGAUGCGCAUAGGUGGGACGCCGGUAGACAUACGGACUAACUGUCGCAGUGGACUUUCAUCCUAGCGCUCCGUUUUUGAAGUUAUUUUGAGGCCAGGUUCUUUUACCUUGUAGAUCCACAUGCAAUUUUUUGUGCUGUGAUGUCCAGUGAGACACAGAUGACGGUAGAGUGAGCGGCAUUACUCUGGUGCUCCACCAUUGUCUAUUCGAUCCUCAGCAACGCAUCGUUUCACCUAACUUCUUUCUUUGCUGCCAGCGUCAACUGCGUGUGUUGCGGACUCGCUCCACUAUUUCAUUGUUGGCCACUGCAUUUCUGCGAUCCAGUAGCAGGGUCUAUUGAUACAUUGCAGAGAAUUGUUGACUUUGGUAUUGCUGUACGCCGUCAUAACCAAAGUUUAAAAGAAAAUGAGCCAACAUGAGAUGCAUUCGCACGCCGGAACCAUCUGCAAACUAGGAACUGUAUAAACAGAAAGUGGCUGAGGAGCGCAAGUUCCGUCAAUAUUUCUGGAUGUAGCGGAAUGCUCUCACUGACGCCACUGUCCUGCGUUAGGCAUGAAUGGGUAGUUGCUCAUAUGGGGCCAUGCCUUCUGUUUUGAAACCCCGUGUUUUAGCUCGACGUUCGUUCCGUGGUGAAUGACCUCGUUCGUGGGACAGGUGGCGCACCCACGACCCACGAACACAAAACAGAGAUGGCAA
rnacentral:lncRNA from 1 species